CUCCUUAAAGUUGGUUUCAAAUUUCAUUUUGACACAUGAACUUAGACUGUUUCCUAUUAAACACUUAAUCUCAAAAUAACCUAUGCCUAAUGGACAGAAAUGCUGAGGUGGCACAGUGGGUAUAACACACUUUCUUUUUGAAAGCGUGAAUACAAAAUGUUGAGUGUCAAUUUAAGAUUUGGUUAAAAAAAAUUCUUCCAUCUCUUAUUCUGGUUUCUCAUGGAUAUCACCCCACCAAGCCACCUCCAUAGCCAGUGUCUUCAUCACCAUCUCCUUCCCACCUCUACCAUUUUUGCCAAUACCACCACAAGUAACUUUCCAGCAUAAGCACCUCUAUCUCACACCGGACUAUCACUCUGAAAAUCACUUUAAGCUCCAUGAUUGGAAAGAAAACUUCGUAGCAUAAUAUCAAAACUCCACAGAUUCUUCAAAGAAUUCCACACCAAAUACACCUAAAUUGGACCAUUACAUGAAUAAUUCCAUAAACUCGAAGAGCUUAAACGUGUAAAGAUUCACAUUUCAAACUCGUUAUUUAUAAAUUUCUCAUUAAAGAAGAAAUCAAAACACCACAUAACUAUAUCCAGAUGAAACUGAAAAGGAAAAAUAAAAUAACAUAGGAUAAAAAAUUAAAAUAGAGAAUAAAUUUCUUCAAGGGUUGACAUCUGAUUCUGUGAUAGAAAAAACUUAGGAAGCUCCACCGAAAAAGUAGCCACUAAGAGCCAUGGCUUUAAAACAAAUGACAAUGAUGAGCUUUUGCCAGAGAAACCAGAGGAGUCAAUGGCAGCGGUGAAACUUCCAAGCACCACCUAUUGUUGUUCUCUUAGACGGAGAAUAGGGAAAAAUGGUUAAAAGGGAGAGUUUACAGGUGACUUGAGAGAGAUUUGAAAGAGAAAAAGGAAAAGUGAUUAUUGGGAGGGUUCAUCUAGAGACGAAGAUUAUGGGAGUGUCAUGACCCAAACCAAUGGCCGCGAUGGUCACCCGGUGCCUUACUCAAUCGAGUACCAACAUAACGUAUUUUUCGUAUCAUAUUAUCAUAGGUAAAUUAACCAGAGAGACUUUCAGAAGAUAACUAGAAUAAAGCAUAAGGGAAUUCUCGACAUAGGAUGAUACAACAUGAUAUACCGACUUAUACAUAUGACAUACGAGCCCAUUAGGUCGGCAUGAUCUUUUAUAUACUCAAAAUAUACGCCGACAAGGUCAUUCAUGUGUCUAUAUACAUGACAUGUAUCUACAAGUCUCUAAGAUUGCAUAAAUACCAUAAAGUUUGGGAUAUGGCCCCGCCAUACCGAUCAAUACAUGUUAAAAGCAUACUGACCAAAUAGGCAACUCCAAAGAAAAUGGAGCGCACCAAUACCUUCCGUUAAGCUGAUAGUCUACUUGGAGGACUCUCAACAUGUCUAUCGGGACCUUCGGUCAUAAAACGUGGUGUCCCCAGGAAAAAGGGAUAUCAAUACAAAUAAUAUACCUAGAUGUAAGGAAUGAAAAUUAAUAAAUAAAAUACAUGAGAGAAACGUGGAGUAAAUGAAUCAACAUGUAAGUAUGAAUAACUCUAUGAAUCAUUUAAUAUUUAUCAUGUCAUGCAUAUGAGUAUAAAUUUCAUACCAUGCAUAGUUAUAUGCGUACAUAACAUUAUCAAGCAUAUAAGGCAUCCCAUCAUAUCAUCUCGGCCACUGUGGGAAAAAUCAUCAACAUAUACCAUCUGAUCAGAUGCCGGUGCAUAUAUAAUGCCAUAAUCUUUCCUCAUAUCCCAUACAUAUACAUAUAUAUAUAUAUAUAUAUAUAUCAUUCAUUGUAUUCACCUCAAUGUUGAUCUACAAUCUACCGCUGAUAACUUGAAAUAUCUUAUAUAAUACAUUGCCACUAGGGCUUACGUCGUGUCAGGAAAUAUCUAAAGCGACUUGCCUAAUCCACCUAGGGGCGAUACUAUACUUCAAUAACCGUAUUAUAUAGCAUCCCUUCGUGAUUCAUCUUAUGGGGGAUAUUCUAAUCCCGUGCCGUCCGUGAAAUCCCCUUUUUUCUUCAAUUCAAUACUCAAUCGAAGACCUAAUGUUAUCCUUUAUAUAUCACAAUUACAUUGCAUAUAUAACUGAAUGCAAUGCAUAAGAAGUAAGUUAAUAAGAUUUCUCGAUAUGUCAUAAGAUCAUUACGCCUUUAAUUAAUAUCAUAAAAUACAAUUUAUCAACUUACGUAUUUUCUAAGCCCCGUGAACAAACGAUAGAAUAAUAGGACAAAAGGCGAAUCAAGAAUAUUGGAACCCUUAAUACUUUUAAGGAUAGAGUUAUUUGUGAAAGUUGCGUGUUUGCUCGUUUUAUGUGUAUCAUAUGGAUAAUGAAAGAAGGGAUAUCCUUAACAUACCUGAGUCGAUUUUCUUAACAAUCCCUCUAACCUACGUCUUUUGCAAAAAGCACAUAAUAACGGAUCGAAAUAGGGAAGAACUCGUAUGAUUUUCUCGAAAACCGUGCUCUCUUAGAAUUGGUGUUGUUGUUACGUUAUGGAAUCUCGUAUGAAUUUUU
rnacentral:lncRNA from 1 species